rnacentral:rRNA from 1 species
UACAGAGGUGGCAAGCGUUGUUCGGAAUUACUGGGCGUAAAGGGCGCGUAGGCGGCCUUCUAGGUCAGACGUGAAAUCCCCAGGCUUAACUUGGGAACUGCGUCUGAUACUGGGAGGCUUGAGUGCGGGAGAGGGAUGUGGAAUUCCAGGUGUAGCGGUGAAAUGCGUAGAUAUCUGGAGGAACACCGGUGGCGAAGGCGGCAUCCUGGACCGACACUGACGCUGAGGCGCGAAAGCGUGGGGAGCGAACCGG